GCGGGAGUUUGCUCGCGGUGGUCACGUGUCGGCGGGGGGUUGGGGGGACGCGUCUGAGGCGCGGGUGUCGCGCGGGUCUGUGCUGUCGGGUGAAGUGGCUCUGCCAGGCGCUCUGGACCGCACGGUCAGGCAGUGAGCGUGACCGGGGCACGGGGUGUUCCGUGCGAGGCGCCGCGGGACUGCGAAGAGACAGGCGGCGGUCGGGAAACGUGAGUGGAUUUGGGCUGCCCGGCGCCGCCUCCCGUCCCCAGAGCGCUGGCCCAGGCGACCCUGCUCUGAUGGCGGCGACGUCCGUCCCUGGCCGCUCAGGGCAGGGAGGCCUGGGACUGCGGAGCGCGGAGCACCGGCCUCGGUUGUGGAUGAGAAAAAAAAAAAAACCAAAAAAACGGAUCUACUUGGACACCCGGCUCGUAUUUGCUUCCCGCAGCGGGUGCCCCGGAGGCGAAGUAACUUGCUUAAAAUCGGGCCACUGGUGAGGACCAACGAAGAGGCGGUGCGCAGACGCGAUGUUACAUUGCGCAACUAACGCAUCCGUCCCUGCGCUCUUGUCGGAAUACUACCGCGUAGCCCUCCCAAGUGCUUCGGUGCAGGGCUUCGUGUAGUGGGGAAUUAGGUUACGCCGCACGGAGCAGCGCGUCUGUCCCUGCCUCUUGGGGGUCACGAGACUUGUCAGCCGCGGACACCCCGGGAGUCACUCGCGAGAAUUAACUAUUUAGGAAGCUUGCUUCAGAAAAGGAACAUUCCUAGAGCGAUGGUUCUUAACCUUUUCGGUGGGGGAGGGGUUUAUGGCUGUUGAGCAUUUGAAAACCUAAACUUUUUGCAGUACAGCUCCUUCUGGGUGAUACAUGACUUAUCAGAGCUAUCCGUUUGGUUAGUGCCGGAACCCAGGUCUCACUUCAGCCUGACGUCCCAUUCCACAAGCCCUUUCAACAACCGUUGAACACCUGCCUGUGCUGGGGACUCCACAGAUGUUUGGUGCCGAGCCAAGUGGCCACUCAUGUCUGCCGUCUGUCCCAGAGAGCAUCCAAGCGGGAGAGAGGAGCAGAGAGAGAGAGAGAAUCCCAAGCAGGCUCCACUCUUCACAGAGCCUUCCAUGGGGCUUGAUCUCAUGACCCCAAGAUCAUGACCUGAGCUGAAAUCAAGAGCCUGAUGCUCAACCGACCAAGCCGCCCAGGUGCUCUUUAAAUCUAGAAAUGACCUCUUAAAAUCUAGAAAUGUACUUGUACUUUUGUCUUUUAUUUUGGGCCAUUUGUCGAAGAGAAUUUGUGCCCCGUCCUGGAGUAUCUUUUAUCUAAAGAAAAAGGGAAAAAAAGGUUAGAACAAACUGGUAGGGAGCAGGCAGUGCCGAAAAGAAUAUCACGUGCUGCUUUCCUCAUCCCAUUCUUCGGUUCCCAAGGAGGGUGACUGAGUAUUGAUAAAACGAUAUCCACGGUCAGGAGGAGGUAGGUGCUAAAGGCAGCAGAAUGAAGAAUUUGGGGUCGUUAUUCCCAGACCAUAGAGCAUGGAAUUCUUAAAUGAUUGUGCCCCCAAACGCCAUAGUUCUUAGAAGAUAUGCAUUUCCCCGGACUCAUCUGAGGUCCAGAAAUCCACAGGGUGAUGUGUCUCCAACAGACACUCCCCAAGAGCCUUGUUUCCUCCCAUGCUGCUUCUUGCCUGAACUUGAAGCUACUGGGAGCCCUCCUCCUUUAGUUGUUGGGAAGGCAGAGGCUAUCCAAAGUGAGAGAGGAAAGGGAGAUGAAUAAAAUCCGGAGACGAAGAACGUGAGCUCUGGCAUUAAUUGCCCCUUGAUUCCCGAGCAGGCUGCUUGCCAGCUGGAUGGCCUUGGACAAACUAUUGAACUCUUGGACAAGAGCUCACUCAGUUUCCUCAUCUGUAAAUUGAAGGUAGUAAUAAUACCUUCAUUAAGUUGUAAGGAUUGAAUGGGAAUAUUAAAGGUUUUAAAUUGUUUUUUUCUUUCUUUUUUAAAUGCUUAUUUUACUCUUGAAAGAGAGAGGGUAUGUGGGUGCAAGUGGGGGAGGGGCAGAGGGAGACAAAGGAUCUGAAGCAGGUUCUGCUCUGACAGCAGAGAGCCCAGUGUAAGGAUUGAGCUCAUCGUGAGAUCAUGACCUUUGCCGAAGUUGGACGCUUAACUGACUGACCCAUCCAGACACCCCUAAAUUAUUUUUUCUAACGGGAUUCUUGUUUUAAAAGAUUUUAGUUACAAAACAAUAGUUUCCUUUUACUAAUCAAAAAUGUACCAUUCAGAGGUUUUGGCUUCCACACCAUAACUAAUGUAAUUCACCGGGUUCUUAACGAUUCGAGCUAAAAGCAAAGAACUGUGAUGUUUUAACUCGAGUAGUUUUAUUGUUAGAUUUAUGAUUUCCAGUAGGCUUUUGGAACGUUGCCCAAGGGCCGGAGACUCCCUAUCCCCCUUUAUAGAUUCUAGACUAGAUCUUUCAAUGUCGACACGUUUGGUUUCGUAACAAAAAAAUAUCAAUGAUUAAGCUGGGAUUUAGCUGGAUUCUCAAGACUUUGAGCAGUGCCUGACUUGCUUCGUCCCAGAGAUUCCACUCCAUCGGGUGCUCCCAACAUGUCAUAGCUUUUGUGUUUUUCACAUUUCAGACAUCAGUACAAAAGGAUUAAGACAAACUGCUACGUCUUGUACAGCUGUUACUUAUUUUCUCGUGAGGCUUUACGGUCUCUGAAAAAGCAGUAGCGGUAUUUAGCAGGUUUAAAAAAAUGCUCAAAAUACCGUGGAUUGUAUAGAGUAGCCUAUCGUAUCAUGUUUCUGGGAACAAAAUUUUGCCAACAAGAAUUAAAAGAAUGAAAGAAAACCGUCAGGAGAUAUCAUGGCCCAAUGAUGGCAGAGGCAAAAAUUGUUCUGGGCUCUGAAGCGGGAGAGAUCCCCGCAGAGGGCGUGAUGAAGGACGCAUUCCCAGCACUGUGGCUGAGUGGCCUCCAAGGUGAGUGGGUUUUGUGUACGUGGAAAGGGGGCAGAGGUGGCGACGGAACGGUGAAGUGACUAAGGUGCACGAGUCUUCAAGACAAAGCCAGAGAGAGGCCGCACGAGAGUGCAUCCGCCACGUCUUUGCAGAGAUCCGGCUUGCUUCCAUUCCCCGCCAUGUCUAACGUGUUUGGAAUAAGACGCUUUUCUCCUUUCUGGUCGCUGGUGCCUCCGAGUGAUCAACAGUGUCGAGGUUUGCUGAGCGCAGGCGCUUUUCUAGAUGCAGCCGAGGAUGGUGCCUGGCCUGCCUCUGAGGGCUCUUCGGAAUAACGUAAUGCAAACGUGGUAUCUGUGAGACUUGUCCUCAACCAGCCCACAGUCUUCCUGCACCUGGUCUGUCGUGGCGCCUCCAAGUUGACGUGCUUGGAUCCUUCGUCUGGUUUUGUGGCUCGCCCUCUCUCAUUCUUGGCCUUCUUUCUGCCUGCCCACCUGCCACCCCUGCCACAUACUUUUUCUCCGAGUCUGUGGCUUUCGGGGACUCUUCUGGUAAGGAGGAGGAGAGGGAUAGAUGCAUACGUGUUUAGCAGUGAACAAAUAAAUGCCUGCACGUGAUGUAACUGCCAUGUGACCUAAGGUCGCAUCACGUGGCGUAUAGUACUUGAAACAAGGGAGGUGGUCUCUUCUGACUCUUGAGUAGGCACGAGGCGAGGCGGCAUAGAGGGUAGAGGUUAAGAAUGCAGGGCUCUCGAGACAGCUGCCUACAUUUCAGUACCAGCUUUCAUUUUCUAACUUGGUGGCCUUGAGCAACAUACUUAACUUCCAUGUCUGUUUCCUCAUUUCCAAUAUGGGGAAUAAUAAUAGUAAUCUUAUCUAAUGGCGUUGUUGGCAUUAAAUUGAAGUUCUGUAAUCGAAGUGCUUAGAAGGGAGCCUGGCACAUAAGUACUCCAUAGAAGUUGGUUUUUACAGUUGUCGGUUCCGGGAAGCAUUCUUUAAAGAAGCGUGCAGACGCAGUGUGGCAGACUUCGAGGAUGUGACUGUGGGGGUGAGGGGACAGGCCAUGCGCUCUAAGUGAAGGCCGCAGGAAUCAGGGAGGCCGAGACUAGAAAAGAAAACUCAAGAGGAUGUACGGUUUUUUUCAGAGAUCUGUGGACGUCUCCUCUUGUGUUUGUCAUCUGUCACAGUGUGUAUGGCCCCAAAGUGAUGGCCUUUGUAAUAGUCUUGGAGGAGGUGAAGGAGGCAGGGGGGAUAGGGGUGACAGGUGUAUUUCCAUGAUCACGUCAGAGUCCAGAUUCCAGUUCUGUCCUCACCACGUUUGACCUGCAGCUUUACUCACAUCUUUGGUAGCUCAGUUUAUUGAUCUGUAAAGUGGAAAUAAUAAUAAUGACUUGUGCUGUUUUGAUGGAAAGAGGUGACAGGGAUGCUAGCGGUUUGUAGUGGGACAGAAGGGUACCUGCAGGUGUCCGAGAUCUGGCCCUCAGCCUGGCAGGUGUACGCUUCUGUUAGUAACUUGCCCACAGGCGAUUUUGGCGACAGACUGAUGCUAAUUUCUCUCUUCCAGCGCUGGAGUAGUGGCCCCCAAAAGAUGUACCCAUGGUCCUCGUUUCCAAAUAAAGUAGCAUUUACAAAUCCCUGGGAUUAAGACUUGCUGUCUUGGGGUGCCUGGGUGUGGCUCAGUCGGUUAAGCGCCCGACUUCGGCUCAGGUCACGAUCGCACAGUUCGUGGGUUCGAGCCCCGCGUCGGGCUCUGUGCUGACAGCUCGGAGCCUGGAGCCUGCCUUGGAUUCUGUGUCUCC